rfam:Zostera marina strain Finnish scaffold_138, whole genome shotgun sequence.
GUCUCUUCGGAGACAUCUGAUAAAAUUGGAACGAUACAGAGAAGAUUAGCAUGGCCCCUGCACAAGGAUGACACGCACAAAUCGAGAAAUGGUCCAAAUUUUU